GACCGCGUCCGAAGACCGCCGAGGCCUCCCGCAGCUCCGCGGUGACACCCGGGUCAGGGGCGCGGGGCCGGGCGCCGGGGAUUGUGGGAGGCGCGGGGGGGCGCGCCGGCCGCCUUCGGAGCCCCCCAACUCGCGUCCUGCAAAGGCCGCCGGGCCCUGUCGAGAAGACCCGACCGCAGAUGGCGGGGAGGAUGCUCCCGGCGGCGUGGGAACCGGGUCUGACUCCCGAGCCACCGCCGCUUCCGCAGGGGCGCCGGCCCCGGGAAAGUCAAGUCAUAAAUCCCUGAAUCUAAAACUCCAUUCUCAGAGAAAAGGCCUCCAAGGACGGGCGCCGUGCGCGGCAACUGCCUGCAGUUUUGAAGCCCUUUGACUAUUUCAUAACAAAGACAAGGCCGGGCGGCUUGGACGCUUAGGAAAAUCCUGGGGCUUUGCAAAAACAACAGGUUAAUCUAGUCGUGUGGGAUGAUCACCAAAACAAGACAGGAAAGAAGAACACCGUGUCAAUGCUGAAAAGCCAGCCCCUGUGAGCCCCAAAGUGCACGUUUUCCACAGUCCCAAGGAACACGUGACUGUGUGUUUCCACACUUGAGAAGUCAGGAUAAGACCCCUUGGAUAAUGGAACAGGGGAUGGGGGUGGGAGCAAGCACCCUACCUGGUCACCUGCUUAACUUAGAAACCAGCUUUUAAAACCUGUAACUGCAGUAUGAGCUACGAUCAAAUUUGUCUUAACGUAUUUUUUUUAAUGUUUUUAAUACCCAGAACACAGGGCUUCUACUCCAGGGUUUCCUCGCCAGGGAACCCCAAACACACAGGACCUGGAGAAGCCGGGUAGAGCUGGCUCCUGGCCCUGCGCUUGGGUGGUCGGCUGCCUUAAGAAGAACUGCACCCCAGAGACAGGCUCGCAGCUGCCGACCUUAUCCACUCGCCCUUUCUGCUGGAGCCCAGGCCCAGUGCUCCAGCAAGGAGGCUGAGAAAAUGCUGAAGACUGAUGCCCACGGGGGACAGCUUGGGCUAAGGAUAACUUCCUCUACUUGGCUCUCCUCCAAAGGUACGCGGCCACAGCAGGCAGGGGCUUGGCAGUGUGGGAGGAGACACCACAGAAGACAGGGAAGAACUACCAGGCCUUGGUUCAUCUCCACACUGGCGAGAGAGGACGUGCAGGGAAGUAUCGGCUGCCAGAUAGGGAGCUGAGACUUCAAGAAGCUAAAUAAGGUGUCCAACACCACAGAGCAUGGAGCAAAGGACACGGGACUGCAAAUCUUCCUAACUCGUGUGCUCAUCUGGCUAUCUCACCAGGGCCUUAAAUUUAAUAUAUCCCAAACUGAACUCAUCUUUACCCCUUCCCACUUUGCACUCCUCAAAUGUCCUUGUUUAAAAUAGUUACCUUUAUCUUUCCUAACCCAGAAACUCAAAACCUGGCAUCA
rnacentral:lncRNA from 1 species